GUUACAGCCAUUUUCAAAUUCUUGUAAAAUUAAUUGUUCAAAGAUAUUUAAAUAUUAGAUUUUUUCAUAUUGCUGACUUGAGAAACCAGGAAUUGAGAACUGGUAUGAGGCAAAAUCUUACAAAAGCAAUACAAUUUAAUAAUCAAUAAGUGAUGAUCAAAUCAAAAAG